CAAUUACCUUCAGAGACGAGCCAGAUCUCCUGAUGUGAGACCACAACAGAAGACAUCAAACCUCAGCAGAAAUCAGUUGGACUCCAUAUUCAAGGAGCUGGAACACAAAGUCCUCACUCUGAUAAAGAAUGAGCUGAAGAGGUUUAGGAAGCUCCUGAGUGCAGAUUUCCCAGCAUGCACUGAGAGGGAGGUGCAGGAUGAGCAGGAUCUGCACAGUGUCAGAGACGGAGCGCUGAAGAUCACACUGCACGUCCUGAAGAACAUGAACCACACAGAUCUCGCUAACACACUGCACAACAAACUCGCCUCUGUGUAUCAGCCAAAGCUGAAAUCCAGCCUGAGAGAGAAGUUUAUAAGAAUUAAUGAAGGAAUCUCACAGCAUGGAAGCUCAGCACUUCUGAAUGAAGAUCUACACAGAGCUCUACAUCACAGAGGGUGGGAGUGGAGACGUCAAUAAUGAACAUGAGGUGAGACAGAUUGAGACAGCGUCCAGGAGAC
ensembl:lncRNA